UUGCUUCAGCAGCAUAUAUGAUAAAAUUGGAACAGAGGAGAUUUAGCACGGCCCUUGAGCAGGGAUGACAUGCAAAGUUGUGCAGCAUCCCGUAUUUUG
rnacentral:snRNA from 1 species